rnacentral:rRNA from 1 species
GGCUCAGGAUGAACGCUAGCGGCAGGCUUAAUACAUGCAAGUCGUGGGGCAGCAUGAGUAGCAAUACUUGAUGGCGACCGGCAAACGGGUGAGGAACACGUACAUAACCUCCUCAAGCGGGAAUAGCCCAGAGAAAUUUGGAUUAAUACCCCAUAAUAUAUUUGAUAAGGCAUCUUAUUAAUAUUAAAGCUUCGGCACUUGAUGAUGGGUGUGCGGCUGAUUAGAUAGUUGGCGGGGUAACGGCCCACCAAGUCUACAAUCAGUAGCUGAUCGUGAGAGCAUGAUCAGCCACACGGGCACUGAGACACGGGCCCGACUCCUACGGGAGGCAGCAGUAAGGAAUAUUGGACAAUGGACGAAAGUCUGAUCCAGCCAUGCCGCGUGAAGGAUUAAGGUCCUCUGGAUUGUAAACUUCUUUUAUAUGGGACGAAAAAAGGGCAUUCUUGUUCACUUGACGGUACCAUAUGAAUAAGCACCGGCUAACUCCGUG